AUUGAACGCUGGCGGCAUGCUUUACACAUGCAAGUCGAACGGGCUUAGGUGCUUGCACCUAGGCUAGUGGCGAACGGGUGAGUAAUGCAUCGGAACGUACCGUGUAAUGGGGGAUAACGCAUCGAAAGGUGUGCUAAUACCGCAUACGCCCUGAGGGGGAAAGUGGGGGAUCGCAAGACCUCACGUUAUACGAGCGGCCGAUGUCCGAUUAGCUAGUUGGUGAGGUAAAGGCUCACCAAGGCGACGAUCGGUAGCGGGUCUGAGAGGAUGAUCCGCCACACUGGGACUGAGACACGGCCCAGACUCCUACGGGAGGCAGCAGUGGGGGAAUUUUGGGACAAUGGGCGCAAGCCUGAUCCAGCCAUGCCGCGUGAGUGAAGAAGGCCUUCGGGUUGUUAAAGACGUCCUUUUGUUCUAGGGAGGCGAAAAA
rnacentral:rRNA from 1 species